rnacentral:ncRNA from 2 species
CCGAACAGCCGGGGGAGCCUGCGCAAGUGGGCUGAGAGGUGCGUAGCGCCGCACCGACCCUUGUACCUGAUCCGGAUCAUACCGGCGUAGGGAGUGUCGAUGAACGCGUCC